CACAUGUGUUCUAUGUUUUCUGCUUUGUAUUGAUCUGAUGAGUUAAGCCCUUUUCAACUGAUUUUUAUACGACCGCAAAAAUUUUGCGGUCAUAUAUUGGUAUGACGUUGGCGUCGUCGUCGUCCGAAGACACAUUAGUUUUCGCACUAUAACUUUAGUUUAAGUGAAUGGAUCUCUAUGAAAUUUUACCAUAAGGUUCAAUACCACAAAAGGAAGGUUGGGAUUGAUUUUGGGGGUUAUGGUAAUAACAGUAAAGGAAUUAGGGGCCAAAAAGGGGCCAAAAAUAAGCAUUUUUGUAACUUCCAGACAUAACUUGUGUGUUAGUGUAUGGAUCUCUCUGACAUUGUACCACAAGGUUCCAUAUCACUAAAGGAAUGCUGGGAUUGAUUUUGGGGGUAAUUGCCUCCAAAUUUUAGGAAUUAGGGGCCAAAAAAGGGGCAAAAAACAAGCAUUUUUCUAGUUUCAUGACAAUAACUUGUGUGUAAGUGUAUGGAUCUUUCUGAAAUUGUACUACAAGGUUCCAUAUCACAAAGGGAAAGCUGGGUUUGAGUUUGGGGGUAAUUGCCCUAAACGUUUAGGAAUUUGGGGCCAAAAAACACAUUUUUUUCUAGUUUCCAGACAAUAACUUGUGUUCAAGUGUAUGGAUCUCUCUGAAAUUGUACUGCAAGGUACCAUACCACAAAGGGAAGGCUGGGAUUGAGUUUGGGGGUGAUGAAUCAUAAUGGGGGUUCAAAAAAUUUUGGGGGGGGAUUUAUUUUUUUUUCCUUUUUUUCUUUUUUUCCUUUUUUGUUUCUUUUAAAAUUUUCCAUUUUAAGUUGGUUAUUUCUGAUUUAUAUUUAAAAUCAAAUAAUAAUGAUAUGGUAGGAGAUACACACCAAACAGGAUGUGUAAAUUAUUAUAUAAUAAGUAUUGUGCAAUAGCAAGAAAUUUUCAAUUGCACAGUAUUGCACAAUAGCAAGAAAUCUUCAAUUGCACAGUAUUGCGCAAUAGCAAGAAAUCUUCAAUUGCACAGUAUUGCGCAAUAGCAAGAAAUAUCCAAUAGCACAAUAUUGCGCAAUAGCAAGAAAUUGUCAAUUGUACAGUAUUGCGCAAUAGCAAGAAAUAUUUAAUAGCACAGGAUUGUGCAAAAGAAGAUACUUCCUAUAAAUUGCUUAUUUCUUGACCAAUUUCAAUGGGGUUUUAUUCUUGAUUUCAUGGGGUUCUUUAAUAUGCUGAAUCUAACCGUGUAUUAAGUUUUUGGAUUUUGGGCCCCGUUUUUAAAUUGGUCCACAUUGAGGUCCAAAGGGUCCAAAAUUAAACUUUGUUUGAUUUCAUCAAAAAUUGAAUUAUUGGGGUUCUUUGAUAUGCCGAAUCUAACUGUGUAUUUAGAUUCUUAAAUUUUGGUUCCGUUUUCAAAUUGGUCUACAUUAAGGUCCAAAGGGUCCAAAAUUAAACUUAGUUUGAUUUUAACAAAAAUUGAAUUCUUAGGGUUCUUUGAUAUGCUGAAUCUAAACAUGUAUUUAGAUUUUUGAUUAUGGGCCCAGUUUUCAAGUUGGUCCAAAUCGGGGUCCAAAAUUAAACUUUGUUUGAUUUCAACAAAAAUUGAAUAUAUGGGGUUCUUUGAUAUGCUGAAUCUAACCAUGUAUUUAGAUUUUUGAUUUUUGGGCCCCGUUAUCAACUUUGUCCACAUUGAGGUCAAAAGGGUCCAAAAUUAAACUUUGUUUGAUUUCAUCAAAAAUUGAAUUAUUGGGGUUCUUUGAUAUGCCGAAUCUAACCGUGUAUUUAGAUUCUUAAUUUUUGGUUCCGUUUUCAAAUUGGUCUACAUUAAGGUCCAAAGGGUCCAAAAUUAAACUUAGUUUGAUUUUAACAAAAAUUGAAUUCUUAGGGUUCUUUGAUAUGCUGAAUCUAAACAUGUAUUUAGAUUUUUGAUUAUGGGCCCAGUUUUCAAGUUGGUCCAAAUCGGGGUCCAAAAUUAAACUUUGUUUGAUUUCAACAAAAAUUGAAUAUAUGGGGUUCUUUGAUAUGCUGAAUCUAACCAUGUAUUUAGAUUUUUGAUUUUUGGGCCCCGUUAUCAACUUUGUCCACAUUGAGGUCAAAAGGGUCCAAAAUUAAACUUUGUUUGAUUUCAUCAAAAAUUGAAUUCUUGGGGUUCUUUGAUAUGCUGAAUCUAACCAUGUAUUUAGAUUUUGGAGAUUGGACCAUAAUAGGUGAAUGUCCAAUUUAAAAUUUUUAAGUUCUUAGACCACAUUCAAUCUGUGUUAGAAACCUAUGCUGUGUCAAAUAUUUAAUCACAAUCCAAAUCCAAAGCUGUAUCAAGCUUGAAUGUUGUGUCCAUACUUGCUCCAACUGUUCAGGGUUCGACCUCUGCAGUCGUAUCAAGCUGCGCCCUGCGGAGCAUUUUAUUAUAGUUUGUUCUUAUGCUUUGCUGUAACACCACUGUCCCAGGUUUCAUUGUAGAGAGAGAAAGUAAUGAUUAACAUCUGUCUGUUUACACUUUGAAAGAAACUCCUAUAAGGUCUGUUGGCGGUCAUUUUAUGUAGGAUAUUGAGUCAUAAUUUAUAGAUUAGCAUAUGGACCUAACAUUUCAGUUGACAACUUUUGUAACUAUAUGAAACCUACAUUUUUUUCUGGCAGCAUUUUUUUUGUAUUGUAAUUGUUGUUGGUCUCGGACAGAAUAUAUGUUUGUGCGAUAACUUGUUUCAGCUGUCUGUUGGGCAUAUAUCCCAUGUCUUGUUUCAUUGAUAUUAUAAAAAUCUGCUCUCUAGAACUACUGGUAUAACUUUUUUAUAAACUUUCACAUAAAAAGUUAAAGCAGACAUACAUGAAGCUGUACAGACACUGUAUACAAUAAAAGAUAAUUCUGAAAUGGCAAUAGUGGAAAUCCACUUAAACACUAUAGAUUCAUCUUUCAAAAUAAAACACUCUAUAGAUUCAUCUUUCAAAAUAAAACACUCUAUAGAUUCAUCUUUCAAAAUAAAACACUCUAUAGAUUCAUCUUUCAAAAUAAAGGAGGAGGUAUGAAAAGAGCUUUUUUUUACUCAUUAUAAAAAUAAUGUGGUAUGAUUGCCAAUGAGACAACUAUCCACCCAAGUUCAAAUGAAGUGGAUGUGAACAAUUAUAGGCAACCAUACGGCCUUCAACAAUGAGAAAAACCCAUACCGUAUAGUCAGCUAUAAAAGGCCCCGAUAUGAAAAAUAUGAAACAAUUCAAUAGAGAAAACCAACAGCCUAAUUUAUAAAACAAUUUACAAAAAACAUAUAUGACGACAUGGAAACGAAAAUUGCAAAUGCCAAUACAUUUGCAUACCAAAUAUCAUUGACUUAACAUUUGUGGUUCAUCUUAAACUGACCUAAUCACAAACUAAUACAUGUAAACUAAGCAAAAGUUUGUCAAUAUACCAUGACUGAGGGGUAAUGACCAAAUUUUCUCCAUGGAAAUGAGAUGUGCUAAUGCUUAUACAACUGCAUACCAAUUAUCAUUGACCUACCACUAACGGUUCCCCUUAAACUGACCUAAUCACAAACUAAUACAAGAAAACUAAGUAAAAGUUUCAAAGUCAAUAAACCAUGACUGAGGGGGCUGGGCCAAAUAAUCUCCAUGGAAAUGAGAUAUGCCAAUGCUCAUAAAACUGCACACCAAAUAUCAUUGACGUACCACUAGUGGUUCCCAUAAACUGACCUAAUCACAAACUAAUACAUGUAAACUAAGCAAAGUUUCAAAGUAAAUAGACCAUGCAUAAGGGGGCGGGGCCAAAUAAUCUCCAUGGUAAUGAGAUGUGCAAAUGCUAAUACAACUGCAUACCAAAUAUCAUUGACCUACCAUUAGUGGUUCCCCAUAAACUAGACCUAAUCACAAACUAAUACAUUGUUGCUGCCGCCGCUGGAAACAGCAUACAUAUGUCUCGCUUUUUGACUCUGUCAAGGCGAGACAAAAAUCAUGUCAGUUUUAUUGAUAAAUAAAUAUUGUGAUAUUCUCUAGUCAUUCUUAAGACAAGCAUGUCAUUGAUGAUGGCAUGUUUGACAUAAUAUAACCAUAAAUUUUGUUUUACCUAAUCUAAAUAUUAAUGGUAAGAUUUCAAAUUAACCCAUUUACCCAGUUACUCAAUAUUUUCUUAACAUUUUGCUGCAGAAUAUCAAUAUUGUUAUUCUAAUUUAAUACACAGACUUAACUGCUUAUGUUCUUGUUACUGCUAUUUACUUGUAUUACUUGGUUGGUCCAUGAAGUUUUUCAAGACUUGUUUUUCAAGGACCUUUUACAGCUUUCAGUAUUAAUGUUGGAGCCCUACAGUGAUUUCUCUUUUGCAUCAUUCUUUUCUUGAUAUUUUCAAUAUUUUCAUCUCAUGGCAUAGAAAAUGACUUAGAAAUAAUUUCAACAACCAUAUUUAGUGAUUUUAAUGAGAGGGAACACAUAUGUACAAGAAUGAAUAAAAUAAAAUGUCUAUUAACUUUU